UACGUAGGGUGCAAGCGUUAAUCGGAAUUACUGGGCGUAAAGCGUGCGCAGGCGGUUUUGUAAGUCUGCCGUGAAAUCCCCGGGCUCAACCUGGGGAUUGCGAUGGAGACUGCAAGGCUGGAGUCUGGCAGAGGGGGGUAGAAUUCCACGUGUAGCAGUGAAAUGCGUAGAGAUGUGGAGGAACACCGAUGGCGAAGGCAGCCCCCUGGGUCAAGACUGACGCUCAUGCACGAAAGCGUGGGGAGCAAACAGG
rnacentral:rRNA from 1 species